rnacentral:rRNA from 1 species
CCUACGGGGGGCAGCAGUCGAGAAUUUUUCACAAUGGGGGAAACCCUGAUGGAGCGACGCCGCGUGGGGGAUGAAGGGCUUCGGUUCGUAAACCCCUGUCAUUGGCGAACAAGUGUUGCGUCCUAAUACGGCGCAACUUGAUAGUAGCCGAAGAGGAAGGGACGGCUAACUCUGUGCCAGCAGCCGCGGUAAUACAGAGGUCCCGAGCGUUGUUCGGAUUCACUGGGCGUAAAGGGUGCGUAGGUGGUUGGUUAAGUUUGAGGUGAAAGCUCCGAGCUCA